ACAUGUAUAUAUAUGCAUGACUCGGACCUUAUGCUGUACACCAGAAAUUGACAUAUUGUAACUGACUAUACUUCAAUUUAAAAGAAAAAAUAAUAAUAAAAGCGCUGCACUGAUCUCCAGUAAUAUUAGCACCAUUAUCACCAAUGAUGAGAAGCAAUUUUAGCUGUUCUUCUCUCAGCACCUGGUGAAGACUUCCCAUUCAUAAAAGCUGAGUCAUUACCCACUGAUUAUCAAGCAGUAGCAUCUUGGUUUGAAUUUCCUUAAUUACAUGUGUUUGAAAUAAUUUGGAUGCCUAUAGGGUGGAGUUGAUUUUUUAAGAGAUAAAUGUACACAUUUACUGAUUAUUCCUAAAGGACGACUUCACAGUUGCAAGAUCUCGUUAUCAACAAGACAUUUGAAAAAGAAUAUGCAUCCCCUGCCUACAUCAUCCUCUGACUCGCCAUCCUCCAGUGAUUCUGAAUGCCACUCCAGAAGCCCGUCGAAACCUGGUGGGUGCAGAGAAGUCUCUUGCUCUUGCUGGAAAAUGACUUAUAAAAAGUGGGAUGCUCACCUGCUACUGUAACAGAGAUCCCCUUGGCUACUGGAAGCCAGUUGUUGAGGGAGCCUGAGAGAUGCGGUCCACAGCAGUCGGCCUCCAGGGGCCCAGAGCAAGGUAGAGAGUGCACCUGUGUGGAGCAAAAGGGGAAUGAUCAGCAUAUGAAGUUUUAAGAAAUAUCUGCUGCAUUACUAGGAGGAAAUCGAGAUAUGUGAAAAAUCUGCACAUCCUCAAUGAUACCAAGUGACUGAAACAGAAAACUGCAAGCCAUGAAAAAAAAUUGUCUUCACUUUACCGUUGAUGCUUGUCAUAUGUAGAAAUAGAUGAGGAUGGAAAUGGAGGCAUUUCCAAUUACAAAACAGAAUUGUUUCAUAUUGUAUGUUUUAUGCCUUCUGGUGACCCCAAGUUUAUCAUCUUAGUGAGGGAACCAAGACAACUGCCACUCGGGGAAGGGGGCAAAACAGUCAGUUCUGAACUAGUGGAACUGACCAGGCUAAAGGAUCAAGGACUAUUUCCAAUGUGUGCAUGAGUGCAAUUUCAAGAAAUGUCUCAGCCUUGUCAUGGAUGUCUCUAAGGAUUUGUUAAAAAAAUUCAAAUGCCACAGAUUUAUUUAUUUUAUGCUGAGAAAUCCACUGUGCCCUCAGUUAGAAGUUCUAGAUGACACCUAGUUUAAGAUGAUUCUGAGAGUGAGACUCUGUAUCCUUGCAUUUUACUUAAGGCCUAAUAGUAUGCCAGGCUGCUUUCCCUUUUGUUAAUAAUGAAGACUGAUCACAGUAUUUGAUUAAAAAUUAUGUCCCACUUGGCAGAGCUGUGGCUUGCAUUUUGGUGCUUUGUGUCAGUAUAAAUAUUUAUCAAGUCGUGAGUCUUAUUUCAGGUUGAUGACUUCUUCUGCUAGGAAUCAGUGGAUAGGAUUCAGGGGCCUGUGAAACUCGUAAAAUUGAUUGCAAAAUGUUUGGCGUGCACAUGUUUUUUCGAGGAAGAAGAUCUAUUGUUUCCACAAAUACUCCAAAGCUAUGCCUUCCUUGACCUUUCUAAAUGAAUUAGCAUUCCCCUGUCUAGUUUUCAUUAACUAAUGGCCCAUCUACCUUUUAUCUCAUCGUUUGGAUUUACAUAUUUUCCUUCAUUAGCUGUCAUUAUAGAGAUUCUCAAGAGAGAGAAAAGAUACACAUAUGUGAUCAGCUGCUUUUAACGUUAAGAACCAUGGCUGAAUACAAAUAUACUGAAAGGGAAACUAGUGAAAGAUGAGAGACUCAUAGUAGCAAGUUUUUUCAGAGAGAUAGGAAUUUGUAACCAAGAUGCCCUCCUCAACAGUCUUGUUGUCUGGUCUUACGGUGCUUUAGGUGAGAGAGUUUGGGAUGUAAAAAGUGAAAAGUAAGAUGAUCUUUCCCUGAUUUUAAAGAUUGAACGGGAUUGGUCUAGUAGUCCCGGAUUGGCUCCCAUUUUCUUAUUGAGACUUCAUAUUUAUUCAUAUUUAUUUGGGGAUUUUACGUGACAGUAGGAUAGUAUUCUUGAAGCUGCCAAGAUGGUUACAGGCAGCCCCAUGGAUAAAAUAACUGAUAGUCCAUCCUAGGAAUGGUGCACUAAGGCCUUGGGCAAGUAUCACAUAGUUAUGGGGUAAAGAAGGGGUCUCAAACUCAAAGGCCUGUUGGCAGCUGGGCCUGUGUGAGGUGAGCAAAUAAUGCAGAGCCAAAGACGUUAUGCUGUGUCUCCAAAGGGGGCAGCUUUUACUCAACUCUACUUUUGUUUAUUUGUU